rnacentral:lncRNA from 1 species
ACUGCACAGCUGGUAUCACGCACUGAUCAGUCACUGGCUGGGCACUGCUGGGGAAGAGUGUUGCCUCAGCUCAAAAGCAGAAUCGGAUCCUGAAGGACCUAAUGACUAGAAACUUCCAGCUGACUACACUCUGCAACUGACUGAUUUGAACGUCUAUAGAAUAUUACAUCUCUUUGACCUGAAGGACUUGCUUUAGCAUUUCUUGUACUACAAGUCUGAUGGAGAGAAUCAAAGAAAAAGAUUAAGAAGCCCUUGGAUCAGAAGAGACUACAUACAUAUGACAACUAAAUGCAAUAUGCAAUUCUGCAUUGAAUUGGAUCCCGUUGAGGAAGAGGACAUCAGUGAAAUAAUAGAUGGCACAUUGCAUAAAGAAACGCGAACCCAGCAGCACUCCUGCCAGCGGCAAUUCUGAGUGCUCAUUUCCACUUUGCCAAGACAUUACAUGGGAAGGCAUGUGCGUUUAAGGGCAUCCAAUUGUUUCUGUAUCAGAACAGCAGCAACAUCCCGGGCAGGCCUUUCCUCUGGAGUUCACGUGUAGGUCGUACUGACACACAACAUGGCCUAAAUGGACCAUGGAGGAGGAAGGGACCCCAAAUCCAGGCCAAAUGGGAGCAGGGUUGUCCUCAGGAGGACCCCAGCUAGAAGACUUUCUCUGGAACCCACGGUGCCUCUCACUAAAGUGCCCCAACGUUGGCACAACACCUACCGAAUUGUUGUUGCUGACUCUCUAUGCCCAUGAUUCAACCAGAACAACAUUGAUUCGUUAAAAGGUGCAUGAAUAAACUUGACUCUGGAAACAACAACA